rnacentral:rRNA from 1 species
UGCAGCAGCCAUAUCAUCCUGCAAGUCAAUACUGGCACCACUGAAGCUAAGCAGGUGUGAGCCUGGUCAGUACCUGGAUGGGAGACCUCCUGGGAAAAACUAAGGUUGUUGCUGGAA